UGACCGGCCACACUGGGACUGAGACACGGCCCAGACUCCUAGGGAGGCAGCAGUGGGGAAUAUUGCACAAUGGGCGCAAGCCUGAUGCAGCGACGCCGCGUGAGGGAUGACGGCCUUCGGGUUGUAAACCUCUUUCAGUAGGGAAGAAGCGAGAGUGACGGUACCUGCAGAAGAAGCACCGGCUAACUACGUGCCAGCAGCCGCGGUAAUACGUUAGGGUGCGAGCGUUAUCCGGAAUUAUUGGGCGUAAAGAGCUCGUAGGCGGUUUGUCGCGUCUGUCGUGAAAGUCCGGGGCUUAACCCCGGAUC
rnacentral:rRNA from 1 species